rnacentral:rRNA from 1 species
GACGAACGCUGGCGGCGCGCCUAACACAUGCAAGUCGAACGGAGCUUAGAGAGCUUGCUUUUUAAGCUUAGUGGCGAACGGGUGAGUAACGCGUGAGUAACCUGCCCUGGAGUGGGGGACAACAGUUGGAAACGACUGCUAAUACCGCAUAAGCCCACGGUACCGCAUGGUACUGAGGGAAAAGGAUUUAUUCGCUUUAGGAUGGACUCGCGUCCAAUUAGCUAGUUGGUGAGGUAACGGCCCACCAAGGCGACGAUUGGUAGCCGGACUGAGAGGUUGAACGGCCACAUUGGGACUGAGACACGGCCCAGACUCCUACGGGAGGCAGCAGUGGGGGAUAUUGCACAAUGGGGGAAACCCUGAUGCAGCGACGCCGCGUGGAGGAAGAAGGUUUUCGGAUUGUAAACUCCUGUCGUUAGGGACGAUAAUGACGGUACCUAACAAGAAAGCACCGGCUAACUACGUG